AGCGAACGCUGGCGGCAGGCCUAACACAUGCAAGUCGAACGAAGUCUUCGGACUUAGUGGCGGACGGGUGAGUAACACGUGGGAACGUGCCUUUAGGUUCGGAAUAACUCAGGGAAACUUGUGCUAAUACCGAAUGUGCCCUUCGGGGGAAAGAUUUAUCGCCUUUAGAGCGGCCCGCGUCUGAUUAGCUAGUUGGUGAGGUAAAGGCUCACCAAGGCUACGAUCAGUAGCUGGUCUGAGUGGAUGACCAGCCACAUUGGGACUGAGACACGGCCCAAACUCCUACGGGAGGCAGCAGUGGGGAAUCUUGCGCAAUGGGCGAAAGCCUGACGCAGCCAUGCCGCGUGGAUGAUGAAGGUCAUAGGAUUGUAAAAUCCUUUCACCGGUGAAGAUAAUGACUGUAGCCGGAGAAGAAGCCCCGGCUAACUUCGUGCCAGCCGCCGCAGUAAGAC
rnacentral:rRNA from 1 species